rnacentral:rRNA from 1 species
GGGUCAGUAGGUUGGUCGUGCCACCGGUACGUACUGGUCUCACUGAUUCCUCCUUCCUGAAGAACCGUAAUGCCAUUAAUUUGGUGUUGCGGGGAAACAGGACUGUUACUUUGAAAAAAUUAGAGUGUUUAAAGCAGGCUAACGCUUGAAUACGUUAGCAUGGAAUAAUGAAAUAGGACGAUCGAUCCUAUUUUGUUGGUUUCUAGGAUUGACGUA